AUCACACACACGCAGUAGUAGUCAACCCACCACGUGGAUAGUGCGCACAUCUAACGCGCCACACUCCUCACUGACAGAUCAACACGCCUUUCAAUAUCUGUGGCGGGGAAGCACGUAUCUCUGGCACAGGUGUUGAAGAGAGAGUGUACGGCACAGGUGUUGAGAUCAGGGAAGGUGUGUGUGUGAGUCAGCUAGCACGCAGGUGUUUUUCGUUGCUGACUACAGGUAUGUGCCGGUGUCUGAUGAGGCAUUAAACAGGUGACCAGCUUUGCACACCUCACUACUCACUACAUCCGUGUCUAGUGUAGUGAGAGGAGUGCCUGCGUGGGGCUGUGCUGUCUGUGGGUGUUGUACUUAACGCUCCAGUGAAUCUCCUAAAGUGACGAAUCUGUUCCGCAAUAUCCUGCACUUGUAACUCACUGUGCAUUCCUGGAACUAACUCUGGAACCUGGAAACUGGUGUGGCUUAAUGCAAAUCACUUCUACAUUGACUUAAAAUCCUGAAAAUAAGGUGAUCUGUUCUACUAUCUGUGAUUUUUCUCUAUCUGUGGUCUAGUACGAUCAAAACGUGAACUUACUGACUGAGUGGUGAUCUACUGAAGGGAGUGUUAAGGUGCCGCUCCUGUCUCCUCCUCACCUUCUUCUUAUCUCUGCAAGUUCAAGAUGAAGACAAACUUAAUUAUCAGGCUGGUGGUGACGGCUGCGGCGUGCGUAGCGUUGGGCGGGCGUACAUGCGCCACGGACAUGGCGCGGCGGCUGGGCCCUAACGGGCGUUCGGUGACAUCUUCCACGCUGGAGUGGAUCACGGCGCGCGGUGGCAAAGUGCCGCGCCACGCGCUGCCCGUGGACCAGCAGGACGUGGAGGGAGUGUAUUGGUGCCGCGCAACGUACCGCGGCUCAUACCUGGCAGGCGCGGCUCGGCCUGACGGUCCUUGCAUGGUGCCUUUCCUCACCAAGGUCCGCAAGAUCAACAAGUUCGACUUCCUCGUCUCUGUGAACGGCUCGGCACGCGUCACCUUCAAACCGUGGGACAAGUUCACCGUGAGGCCAAACGAUGCGCUGCUCACGCCUGACAAGAUGUUGGUGCUGGCGUCCGCUGAUGGGCGACCGACUGAACCUAGGAUGCCUGGUCACUUGGGACUGCGUACCUACGACCGCGAGGCCUUCCUGGUGGACGGGGAGGGCGUGAAAACCACGAGCGAGGCGGUAGUGAUGGUGGAGGUGGAACCCACGCAUUACUCGCUGCAGGACGUGGUGCUGGAGGGUAAGCGAGGCUUGACCCAGACCACGCCCGUGCUCCUCUCCAACGUCACCCUCGAGAACCCUGGCGAUAAGGAGGAGGAGGUGGGCAAGCUGGAGACCUACGUAGUGGAGGAGGAACACUACUGGGGGCAGGUGAAGGGCACCGUGACGGCGCUCCCCACCUCCAUCAGCAGCCCGCAGGACCCGCCCCUGGCCAUGCCCUUCCCGAGGGACCGACCCUUCAACUACAAGUGGGGCAUUGCCAACGUGAAGGACCACGUGGACAACCUUAACCUGAUGGACCAGCUGCCGUCGGGCGUGGGCGUGGAGGUCGAGAUCAACGGAAUCAUGCGGCACUACGAGGCGCCCUACAGUGCCACACUCAUCACCCACUACCAUGACGGCGAGACGCGGGAGCGGCGCAUCGAGGCCCUGCACACCCACCAGACGCUAGAGGCCGUCAGCGUCUCCUACAGCCGAUACUACAACCUUACCACCGGGGAGACACUGGACAUGCCAUCCCGUACACAGGCCAUCUUCGAACUCACCACCACUACCACCACCACGACCACGACUACCACCACCUCUACGACAACCACCACCACGACCACCACCACUACGGAGGCACCCACUACUACCCCGCAAACGGAGGCCAACACGGAGAUCGCCACGGAGCUGCCAACGGAGAUCAACAACGAGGUGACGCAGCUGGAGUCCAAGUCCCACUCCAAGGACGCAGACUCUGAACCUUUCCAGAGGACCCGCGAUGACAAGAGUGGCAGCCCGACACUCACCUCCACCACAGACCGCAUCCUCUCCGCACUCGCUUCUCUUUACGCCACUCUUAUUUUCCGUUACUACGCCAGCCUUUGAACACUCCCGCCCACCAAACACCCCUCCACAGUCCCACCCCAUCCUUCGGCGCCCCCCACCGCUGAGUCUGAGGAAGCGUCAGUGCUGAAGGAAGAACUGAAACAACAAAAGUCAGUCAGUCAGUCAGUCAGUUUGGCAAGACAAAGCCAAAGCCGUGCCGUAACAGGAAUUAUGUUAUGAGGGAAAGAAGCAUUGGAAGCAGAACAGUGUGAAAUAAUAAGAGAGAGAGAGAGAGAGAGAGAGAGAGAGAGAGAGAGAGAGAGAGAGAGAGAGAGAGAGAGAGAGAGAGAGAGAGAGAGAGAGUAAUGUCUGUUUAAAAAGUCAAAGCAAGAAUAUUUCAUUUAAACAAAAAAAAAAAAAAAAAAUACAAUACACAGUGAAAUAAUGUAUAGAUGUAUAAAUAGCAAUGAAUAAGUAAUCAUGUGACGUGUAUGCUUUUGUUCCUACGCAUACUCAUACAUGGUAGUAGUACUGUAAUGGCGAGCUGUAUACAUGCAUAACUAGUACACUGACCAUACAUAAGGCAACCUGGGGCUUCCGUGUAUGUCUACUUAUGUAUAUAUGACUAUGUAUAGAUGCGUAGUUACCACGUAUACUUAGAAAUCAAUGUUAGUAAUAGGAAUAAGUAAGGAAGGUAAUAUUGUUGCUUUUUGUAUUAUUUUCCUCUCUUCUUUUACCUGCAGCGUGGGGCUCAGGCUAAUAUUCGUAAACAUUACCUAUCCUACCUAUCCCUAACAUGUAUAACUAUGUAUAUCUUACCUGAGAUGUAUAGUGAACGCUCUGUAAUGUAUAAUGUAUAAUCUCUAUUUCACUAUUUUCCUCCCGAUUAUGUGUUGCUUAGAGAAGAAUAUUUUCCGCAGUGAAGAAACGACGAAGUUCAAAGUAGAUAGCGAUGCCGUGACGCGCCAAAGAGUGUACUGUCAUAACUGAGGCUGCGGGACUGAAAUCUGCAUCGUUCUCUAGUGAUAAGCAUUCCUAAGCGUACCACAUGCACAUGACGCAGUGUUGACAGGAUGGUUACCGGAGAAGAACGAUGCAGAUUUUAGACCCUGUGAGCCAGACUAUAGUGUUGUGGUGUCCCCGUAGUGGCUUAUUGGCUUAUCUUGUGGCGUAAGCUCGGUAUUCAGAAACACUUACUCUCCUGCUGCAAGUACUUUCAAAGGCCACACAUUUAAUUGCCGGGUUCUAAAGACUGUUUCUCCUGUUAUUUGCUAAAAAAAUCUUGUUAAUCUCUUAUUAGAAUCAUACGAGUAGCUUCAAAAACCCGUGCUACUUCAACUAAAGCCUUUUGGAAGUAGUGAAGGAGCGGCGAGGAGGUGUUUCAGAAUAAUAUUAUGUAUGGUUUUCAGUGAGGCAGGCGUCUUUCGUCUACCACUUACGCUUUCUUCUAUGUAGAAACCUUGGCCAAAAGUGAAAAAAAAAAAAAAUCUUUGAACGAAAAAAAAAAAGAAUAUUUGUAAUCAUUGAUAAUCCGACACGUAAAAAAAGAGAAGGAUGAAAAA